UACCAGGCUUUUAAAGACAUC
rnacentral:piRNA from 1 species